rnacentral:rRNA from 1 species
GAUGAACGCUGGCGGCGUGCCUAAUACAUGCAAGUAGAACGCUGAAGCUUGGUGCUUGCACCGAGCGGAAGAGUUGCGAACGGGUGAGUAACGCGUAGGUAACCUGCCUCUUAGCGGGGGAUAACUAUUGGAAACGAUAGCUAAUACCGCAUAAAAGUCGACAUUGCAUGAUGUUGACUUGAAAGGUGCAACUGCAUCACUAAGAGAUGGACCUGCGUUGUAUUAGCUAGUUGGUGAGGUAACGGCUCACCAAGGCGACGAUACAUAGCCGACCUGAGAGGGUGAUCGGCCACACUGGGACUGAGACACGGCCCAGACUCCUACGGGAGGCAGCAGUAGGGAAUCUUCGGCAAUGGACGGAAGUCUGACCGAGCAACGCCGCGUGAGUGAAGAAGGUUUUCGGAUCGUAAAGCUCUGUUGUAAGAGAAGAACGAGUGUGAGAGUGGAAAGUUCACACUGUGACGGUAACUUACCAGAAAGGGACGGCUAACUACGUGCCAGCAGCCGCGGUAAUACGUAGGUCCCGAGCGUUAUCCGGAUUUAUUGGGCGUAAAGCGAGCGCAGGCGGUUAGAUAAGUCUGAAGUUAAAGGCUGUGGCUUAACCAUAGUACGCUUUGGAAACUGUUUAACUUGAGUGCAGAAGGGGAGAGUGGAAUUCCAUGUGUAGCGGUGAAAUGCGUAGAUAUAUGGAGGAACACCGGUGGCGAAAGCGGCUCUCUGGUCUGUAACUGACGCUGAGGCUCGAAAGCGUGGGGAGCAAACAGG